rnacentral:rRNA from 1 species
CGAACGCUGGCGGCGUGCUUAACACAUGCAAGUCGAACGCGAAAGGGACUUCGGUCCUGAGUAAAGUGGCGCACGGGUGAGUAACGCGUAGAUAACCUGUCUUCAUGUCUGGAAUAAUACGCCGAAAGGGGUACUAAUACCGGAUAUUCUUGCUUUUCAUAAGUUAUGCAAGCAAAGGUGGCCUCUGCAUAUGCUACUGCAUGAAGAGGGGUCUGCGUACCAUUAGCUAGUAGGUGGGGUAAUGGCCUACCUAGGCGACGAUGGUUAGCGGGUCUGAGAGGAUGAUCCGCCACACUGGCACUGGAACACGGGCCAGACUCCUACGGGAGGCAGCAGUGAGGAAUAUUGCGCAAUGGGGGAAACCCUGACGCAGCGACGCCGCGUGAGGUGAGGAAGGCCUUCGGGUCGUAAAGCUCUGUCAAGAGGAAAGAAGUGUACAAUGGCUAAUACCUGUUGUAUUUGACGGUACCUCUAAAGGAAGCACCGGCUAACUCCGUGCCAGCCGCCGC